CACCCAUUAAAUAUUCACACCAAAAUGAAAAGGGAGGGAGGGGAAGCCACUUGAUUUCUGGUUUUCCUUGUCACUAUGGGAGCAUUUUAUUUUGGAACACUGACAGAACCCUCACCCUAUGAGCAAGGAAACCUGUUCAGAUGGCUGUCAAACAGAUUUCAAACCUGGGCAAGGAUCUGGGUUUAAACUUCAGUGAGAGAGGGUUAGAGACAGAAAUUAGUAGGUUGAGAUUAAAUACUUAAAAAGGACACUGUGGGCCCUCCAUCCCUGCAGAUCUUUAGGGAAUAAAAAUGACACUCGUUCUUUCUGGAUGAUGUAAGCUUAAAAGGAGGGGGCCUGGCCCAAAUGACCUGCUGGACUCUACAAAUCUUGUUGCUCCUGGUGUAGACUGCAGCGUGAGGAAGUCUAUUCAAAGGAGUUGGUCGGUUUUGAUCAGGAUCCUGAUACACAUUCACUCUCUUCCUAAGUGGCUUUGCAUAGGUCAAAACGAUCAUCAGCCCUUCCAAAGACCCACCUGUGCAGUCCUGGAUACUGAAUGAAUAAAGUUGAAUAUAAAUGGUCCCUGCCCUCCAAGAACAUAUUGGAAAUAAACCAGUCUUAAAGUCCUGAAAAUUCAA